CAUUCCUGCCAUGGUUGUUCAAAUCAGGGAACUCCUAGCAUUUCAGAUCCCCAGGGAUUUCAGCCAUGAAACUUUCAGUGGCAGAGGAACAGAUAUUACUUCUUCUCUCCUAUAUUCCCAAAGAAUCCAGCCCAUUGUAGAGAUUGAAUGGCAUUUGAGAAUAAAGAGUAGAGUUCAGUAGACAAAUCAGAGAUUAAGGAUAAAGAAAGUACAAUCUAUCUGCAAUCCUGCAGCAUUGUGUGGGUUACUGCAAUAUUAAAAUGGCAGAGUUCCCUGACCUCCCUUGCAGGACAAGUGACAGAGCAUUUACACCAUUAAUGUAGGUCCAUGAGGAUUAUGGACCCAGAGAAAGGAAUAACAAUAUCUUUUAAAAAUCUACAAAUGGAGAAGAUGAAAUAUAUGACAGGGCUGGAGGUCUGGUUCCAAAGGAAGAGGAAGAAAAGAGCC